CUACCCUUGGUCAGGUUGAAGUUCAGGUAACACUGAAUGGAGGACCGAACCGACUUACGUUGAAAAGUGAGCGGAUGAACUGAGGGUAGCGGAGAAAUUCCAAUCGAACCUGGAGAUAGCUGGUUCUCUCCGAAAUAGCUUUAGGGCUAGCCUCAAGUGAUGAUUAUUGGAGGUAGAGCACUGUUUGGACGAGGGGCCCCUCUCGGGUUACCGAAUUCAGACAAACUCCGAAUGCCAAUUAAUUUAACUUGGGAGUCAGAACAUGGGUGAUAAGGUCCGUGUUCGAAAGGGAAACAGCCCAGACCACCAGCUAAGGUCCCAAAAUAUAUGUUAAGUGGAAAAGGAUGUGGCGUUGCCCAGACAACUAGGAUGUUGGCUUAGAAGCAGCCAUCAUUUAAAGAGUGCGUAAUAGCUCACUAGUCGAGUGACACUGCGCCGAAAAUGUACCGGGGCUAAACAUAUUACCGAAGCUGUGGAUUGUCCUUUGGACAAUGGUAGGAGAGCGUUCUAAGGGCGUUGAAGCAUGAUCGUAAGGACAUGUGGAGCGCUUAGAAGUGAGAAUGCCGGUGUGAGUAGCGAAAGACGGGUGAGAAUCCCGUCCACCGAUUGACUAAGGUUUCCAGAGGAAGGCUCGUCCGCUCUGGGUUAGUCGGGUCCUAAGCUGAGGCCGACAGGCGUAGGCGAUGGAUAACAGGUUGAUAUUCCUGUACCACCUAUA
rnacentral:rRNA from 1 species